rnacentral:rRNA from 1 species
GAUGAACGCUGGCGGCGUGCCUAAUACGUGCAAGUCGAGCGAACAGACGAGGAGCUUGCUCCUCUGACGUUAGCGGCGGACGGGUGAGUAACACGUGGAUAACCUACCUAUAAGACUGGGAUAACUUCGGGAAACCGGAGCUAAUACCGGAUAACAUGUUGAACCGCAUGGUUCAACAGUGAAAGACGGUCUUGCUGUCACUUAUAGAUGGAUCCGCGCCGCAUUAGCUAGUUGGUAAGGUAACGGCUUACCAAGGCAACGAUGCGUAGCCGACCUGAGAGGGUGAUCGGCCACACUGGAACUGAGACACGGUCCAGACUCCUACGGGAGGCAGCAGUAGGGAAUCUUCCGCAAUGGGCGAAAGCCUGACGGAGCAACGCCGCGUGAGUGAAGAAGGUCUUCGGAUCGUAGAACUCUGUUAUUAGGGAAGAACAAAUGUGUAAGUAACUAUGCACGUCUUGACGGUACCUAAUCAGAAAGCCACGGCUAACUACGUG